AACCAUUCUCACCUGCGGCUAGACCUGCGGAAGGAUCAUUAAAAAGAGUGUGUACCCCUCUGUAAAAUGAGUGGGUUACCUCCCGUCCUUUGUUGACCUCUUAGGAGGUUAUUUUGAACUUUCUGCUUCGGUGGGGUUAAACCUACCGGAACACCCUCAAAUUCUUAUCAUUUAAAAAUUGUUCAGUCUGAUUUUUGUUAAUAAAAACAAAAAACUUUCAGCAACGGAUCUCAGAUCGGA
rnacentral:misc_RNA from 1 species